rnacentral:rRNA from 1 species
UACGUAGGGUGCGAGCGUUGUCCGGAAUCAUUGGGCGUAAAGGGCUCGUAGGCGGUCCAUCGCGUCGGUAGUGAAAAGCUGGGGCUCAACCCCAGUCCUGCUUCCGAUACGGGUGGACUAGAGGUAUGCAGGGGAGAACGGAAUUCCUGGUGUAGCGGUGAAAUGCGCAGAUAUCAGGAGGAACACCGGUGGCGAAGGCGACCAACUGGUCCGACAUUGACACUGAGGCACGAAAGCGUGGGUAGCAAACAGG